UACGAAGGGGGCUAGCGUUGCUCGGAAUCACUGGGCGUAAAGCGCACGUAGGUGGGUCGCUAAGUCGGGGGUGAAAUCCUGGAGCUCAACUCCAGAACUGCCUUCGAUACUGGCGAUCUUUGAGUCCGGGAGAGGUGGGUGGAACUGCGAGUGUAGAGGUGAAAUUCGUAGAUAUUCGCAAGAACACCGGUGGCGAAGGCGGCUAUCUGGCCCGUAAUUGACGCUGAGGCGCGAAAGCGUGGGGAGCAAACAGG
rnacentral:rRNA from 1 species